rnacentral:rRNA from 1 species
GUCGGCGUGCUUAACACAUGCAAGUCGAACGGAAAGGCCCUGCUUUUGUGGGGUGCUCGAGUGGCGAACGGGUGAGUAACACGUGAGUAACCUGCCCUUGACUUUGGGAUAACUUCAGGAAACUGGGGCUAAUACCGGAUAGGAGCUCCUGCUGCAUGGUGGGGGUUGGAAAGUUUCGGCGGUUGGGGAUGGACUCGCGGCUUAUCAGCUUGUUGGUGGGGUAGUGGCUUACCAAGGCUUUGACGGGUAGCCGGCCUGAGAGGGUGACCGGCCACAUUGGGACUGAGAUACGGCCCAGACUCCUACGGGAGGCAGCAGUGGGGAAUAUUGCACAAUGGGCGGAAGCCUGAUGCAGCAACGCCGCGUGCGGGAUGACGGCCUUCGGGUUGUAAACCGCUUUCGCCUGUGACGAAGCGUGAGUGACGGUAAUGGGUAAAGAAGCACCGGCUAACUACGUGCCAGCAGCCGCGGUGAUACGUAGGGUGCGAGCGUUGUCCGGAUUUAUUGGGCGUAAAGGGCUCGUAGGUGGUUGAUCGCGUCGGAAGUGUAAUCUUGGGGCUUAACCCUGAGCGUGCUUUCGAUACGGGUUGACUUGAGGAAGGUAGGGGAGAAUGGAAUUCCUGGUGGAGCGGUGGAAUGCGCAGAUAUCAGGAGGAACACCAGUGGCGAAGGCGGUUCUCUGGGCCUUUCCUGACGCUGAGGAGCGAAAGCGUGGGGAGCGAACAGGCUUAGAUACCCUGGUAGUCCACGCUGUAAACGGUGGGUACUAGGUGUGGGGUCCAUUCCACGGGUUCCGUGCCGUAGCUAACGCUUUAAGUACCCCGCCUGGGGAGUACGGCCGCAAGGCUAAAACUCAAAGGAAUUGACGGGGCCCCGCACAAGCGGCGGAGCAUGCGGAUUAAUUCGAUGCAACGCGUAGAACCUUACCUGGGUUUGACAUGGAUCGGGAGUGCUCAGAGAUGGGUGUGCCUCUUUUGGGGUCGGUUCACAGGUGGUGCAUGGCUGUCGUCAGCUCGUGUCGUGAGAUGUUGGGUUAAGUCCCGCAACGAGCGCAACCCUUGUUCACUGUUGCCAGCACGUUAUGGUGGGGACUCAGUGGAGACCGCCGGGGUCAACUCGGAGGAAGGUGGGGAUGACGUCAAGUCAUCAUGCCCCUUAUGUCCAGGGCUUCACGCAUGCUACAAUGGCUGGUACAGAGAGUGGCGAGCCUGUGAGGGUGAGCGAAUCUCGGAAAGCCGGUCUCAGUUCGGAUUGGGGUCUGCAACUCGACCUCAUGAAGUCGGAGUCGCUAGUAAUCGCAGAUCAGCAACGCUGCGGUGAAUACGUUCCCGGGGCUUGUACACACCGCCCGUCAAGUCAUGAAAGUUGGUAACACCCGAAGCCGGUGGCCUAACCGUUGUGGGGGAGCCGUCGAAGGUGGGACUGGUGAUUAGGACU